GUCUGAAGAAGGCCUUCGGGUUGUAAAGGACUUUUGUUAGGGAAGAAAAGCCGGGUGCUAAUACCACCUGGUGCUGACGGUACCUAAAGAAUAAGCACCGGCUAACUACGUGCCAGCAGCCGCGGUAAUACGUAGGGUGCGAGCGUUAAUCGGAAUUACUGGGCGUAAAGCGAGCGCAGACGGUUAAUUAAGUCAGAUGUGAAAUCCCCGAGCUCAACUUGGGACGUGCAUUUGAAACUGGUUAACUAGAGUGUGUCAGAGGGAGGUAGAAUUCCACGUGUAGCAGUGAAAUGCGUAGAGAUGUGGAGGAAUACCGAUGGCGAAGGCAGCCUCCUGGGAUAACACUGACGUUCAUGCUCGAAAGCGUGGGUAGCAAACAGGAUUAGAUACCCUGGUAGUCCACGCCCUAAACGAUGACAAUUAGCUGUUGGGACACUAGAUGUCUUAGUAGCGAAGCUAACGCGUGAAAUUGUCCGCCUGGGGAGUACGGUCGCAAGAUUAAAACUCAAAGGAAUUGACGGGGACCCGCACAAGCGGUGGAUGAUGUGGAUUAAUUCGAUGCAACGCGAAGAACCUUACCUGGUCUUGACAUGUACGGAAUCUCUUAGAGAUAGGAGAGUGCCUUCGGGAGCCGUAACACAGGUGCUGCAUGGCUGUCGUCAGCUCGUGUCGUGAGAUGUUGGGUUAAGUCCCGCAACGAGCGCAACCCUUGUCAUUAGUUGCCAUCAUUAAGUUGGGCACUCUAAUGAGACUGCCGGUGACAAACCGGAGGAAGGUGGGGAUGACGUCAAGUCCUCAUGGCCCUUAUGACCAGGGCUUCACACGUCAUACAAUGGUCGGUACAGAGGGUAGCGAAGCCGCGAGGUGAAGCCAAUCUCAGAAAGCCGAUCGUAGUCCGGAUUGCACUCUGCAACUCGAGUGCAUGAAGUCGGAAUCGCUAGUAAUCGCAGGUCAGCAUACUGCGGUGAAUACGUUCCCGGGUCUUGUACACACCGCCCGUCACACCAUGGGAGUGGGGGAUACCAGAAUUGGGUAGACUAACCGCAAGGAGGUCGCUU
rnacentral:rRNA from 1 species